rnacentral:rRNA from 1 species
GCGGAGGAAAAGAAACCAACAGGGAUUGCCUCAGUAACGGCGAGUGAAGCGGCAAAAGCUCAAAUUUGAAAUCUGGCUCUUUCAGGGUCCGAGUUGUAAUUUGUAGAAGAUGCUUUGGGUGUGGCUCUGGUUUAAGUUCUUUGGAAUAUUACAUCAUAGAGGGUGAGAAUCCCGUAUGUGACCAGUCGCCGCGCCCGUGUAAAGCUCUUUCAACGAGUCGAGUUGUUUGGGAAUGCAGCUCAAAAUGGGAGGUAUAUUUCUUCUAAAGCUAAAUAUUGGCCAGAGACCGAUAGCGCACAAGUAGAGUGAUCGAAAGAUGAAAAGCACUUUGGAAAGAGAGUUAAACAGUACGUGAAAUUGUUGAAAGGGAAGCGCUUGCAACCAGACUUGCACGCAGUUGAUCAUCCGGUGUUCUCACCGGGGCACUCUGCUGCGUUCAGGCCAGCAUCGGUUUUGGUGGUUGGAUAAAGGCCUUGGGAAUGUAGCUUCUUUCGGGGAGUGUUAUAGCCCUUGGUGCAAUGCAGCCUACCGGGACCGAGGACCGCGCUUCGGCUAGGAU